rnacentral:rRNA from 1 species
GUGCAGCAGUCGAGAAUCCUUCGCAAUGCGGGAAACCGCGACGAGGGGACUCCCAGUGCCUACGCUCAGCGUAGGCUGUUCCCGAGCCUAGAAAGCUCGGGGAGUAAGGGCUGGGUAAGACGGGUGCCAGCCGCCGCGGUAAUACCCGCAGCCCGAGUGGUGGCCACUAUUAUUGGGCCUAAAGCGUCCGUAGCCGGCCCGGUAAAUGCCUGGGUAAAUCGUGAGGCCUAACCUCACGAAUUCCGGGUAGACUGCUGGGCUAGGGACCGGAGGAGGGAGAGGGUACUCCAGGGGUAGGGGUGAAAUCCUGUAAUCCCUGGAGGACCACCGGUGGCGAAGGCGCUCUCCCAGGACGGGUCCGACGGUGAGGGACGAAAGCCAGGGGAGCGAACCGGAUUAGAUACCCGCGUAG